AGAGUUUGAUCCUGGCUCAGGACGAACGCUGGCGGCGUGCUUAACACAUGCAAGUCGAACGGUAAGGCCCUUCGGGGUACACGAGUGGCGAAUGGGUGAGUAACACGUGGGUAAUCUGCCCUGCACAUCGGGAUAAGCCUGGGAAACUGGGUCUAAUACCGAAUAGGACCACAGGACACAUGUCCUGUGGUGGAAAGCUUUUGCGGUGUGGGAUGGGCCCGCGGCCUAUCAGCUUGUUGGUGGGGUGAUGGCCUACCAAGGCGACGACGGGUAGCCGGCCUGAGAGGGUGUCCGGCCACACUGGGACUGAGAUACGGCCCAGACUCCUACGGGAGGCAGCAGUGGGGAAUAUUGCACAAUGGGCGAAAGCCUGAUGCAGCGACGCCGCGUGGGGGAUGACGGCCUUCGGGUUGUAAACCUCUUUCACCAUCGACGAAGGUCCGGGUUUUCUCGGGCUGACGGUAGGUGGAGAAGAAGCACCGGCCAACUACGUGCCAGCAGCCGCGGUAAUACGUAGGGUGCGAGCGUUGUCCGGAAUUACUGGGCGUAAAGAGCUCGUAGGUGGUUUGUCGCGUUGUUCGUGAAAUCUCACGGCUUAACUGUGAGCGUGCGGGCGAUACGGGCAGACUUGAGUACUGCAGGGGAGACUGGAAUUCCUGGUGUAGCGGUGGAAUGCGCAGAUAUCAGGAGGAACACCGGUGGCGAAAGCGGGUCUCUGGGCAGUAACUGACGCUGAGGAGCGAAAGCGUGGGGAGCGAACAGGAUUAGAUACCCUGGUAGUCC
rnacentral:rRNA from 1 species